rnacentral:sRNA from 1 species
GCGUAAGAGAUCUAGGAAGAAGAAAAAAAAGACGAAGCUUGGAGUUGAAUGGAAGCUAAGAUCUUUAGUGGUUGUAGAAUCUUUAAAAAUUAGUGUUAUGGUUAUUUUUGUUAGUUUAUGUGUGUUCAAGUAGAAUGUAUGCAUCAGAAUUGCCAAAUAAGUUAAGAAGACAAGAAGCAUACAACAAGCAAGAUUCUUUAUUACCUAACUUUCACCUAAAGCUUCUACUUCCUAUUUUGUUUUUCUUUAAUCCUUCCAUUCCAUCGAGGCUUUUGAAUGGUAACUGCGGAAUCGGGGAAAAUAAAAUAAAACCUAGACAAAAAAAUGACAGAGCUUUACAGUUCGGAACCGGUGUUUCCUCUUGAGACCUUUGUUAGUUGCUUCGUUUUGUUUUCUUAUCGUGUUAUCUCGUAUUCGUAGUUCUUUUAGUCGUAGUUUUUCUUGUUUUUCUACUUUCAUUGUUUACUCUUUAUUUUCUCUCUCAAACUUAAAAACGGUAGAAAAUAUUUAAUAUUAAUAAAUAAAUAAAAACGGGCAGAAUGGACAUAAAAAAAAAUUUGUGUGGUUGGAUAAAUUUUUGGGAAUUCUAUAAUAUACUACAUUCUUCAAU